rnacentral:rRNA from 1 species
CCUACGGGAGGCAGCAGUAGGGAAUUUUCGUCAAUGGGCGCAAGCCUGACCCAGCAACGCCGCGUGAAGGAAGAAGGCUUUCGGGUUGUAAACUUCUUUUGUCAGGGAAGAGUAGAAGACGGUACCUGACGAAUAAGCCACGGCUAACUACGUGCCAGCAGCCGCGGUAAUACGUAGGUGGCAAGCGUUGUCCGGAUUUACUGGGUGUAAAGGGCGUGUAGCCGGGUUGACAAGUCAGAUGUGAAAUCCUGCGGCUUAACCGCAGAACUGCAUUUGAAACUGUUGAUCUUGAGUACUGGAGAGGCAGACGGAAUUCCUAGUGUAGCGGUGAAAUGCGUAGAUAUUAGGAGGAACACCAGUGGCGAAGGCGGUCUGCUGGACAGCAACUGACGGUGAGGCGCGAAAGCGUGGGGAGCAAACAGGAUUAGAUACCCGGGUAGUC